UACGUAGGGUGCAGGCGUUAAUCGGAAUUACUGGGCGUAAAGCGUGCGUAGGCGGUUUGUUAAGCCAGGUGUGAAAUCCCCGGGCUUAACCUGGGAACUGCGCUUGUUACUGGCAGACUGGAGUGUGGCAGAGGGGGGUGGAAUUCCAGGUGUAGCAGUGAAAUGCGUAGAUAUCUGGAGGAACACCGAUGGCGAAGGCAGCCCCCUGGGCUAACACUGACGCUGAUGCACGAAAGCGUGGGGAGCAAACAGG
rnacentral:rRNA from 1 species